UACGGGGGGGGCAAGCGUUGUUCGGAAUUACUGGGCGUAAAGGGCGCGUAGGCGGCUUUUCAAGUCGGGCGUGAAAUCUCCGGGCUUAACCCGGAAGGGUCGUUCGAUACUGUUGAGCUAGAGUGUGGAAGAGGCAACUAGAAUUCCGUGUGUAGCGGUGAAAUGCGUAGAUAUACGGAGGAAUACCUGAGGCGAAGGCGGGUUGCUGGGCCAACACUGACGCUGAGGCGCGAAAGCCAGGGGAGCAAACGGG
rnacentral:rRNA from 3 species